rnacentral:rRNA from 1 species
CCUACGGGGUGCAGCAGUGGGGAAUAUUGCACAAUGGACGAAAGUCUGAUGCAGCAACGCCGCGUGGAGGAUGACACAUUUCGGUGCGUAAACUCCUUUUAUAUGAGAAGAUAAUGACGGUAUUAUAUGAAUAAGCACCGGCUAACUCCGUGCCAGCAGCCGCGGUAAUACGGGGGGUGCAAGCGUUACUCGGAAUCACUGGGCGUAAAGAGCAUGUAGGCGGAUUAAUAAGUUUGAAGUGAAAUCCUAUAGCUUAACUAUAGAACUGCUUUGAAAACUGUUAAUCUAGAAUGUGGGAGAGGUAGAUGGAAUUUCUGGUGUAGGGGUAAAAUCCGUAGAGAUCAGAAGGAAUACCGAUUGCGAAGGCGAUCUACUGGAACAUUAUUGACGCUGAGAUGCGAAAGCGUGGGGAGCAAACAGGAUUAGAUACCCCCGUAGUC